AAUUAGACAAUAAGUUGGUGAUUGGUAGGUUAGUUAGUAUAGAAUUAGGUUAUAGUUUAGGGUCUGUUUGACUAUGAAGAUUUUUGUUUUUCUUGAAUCCCUGCAGUGGGGAGAUGCUGAGCAUCACCAAGAGACAUUGGAAAACUUGAGGGCUUCUUCUGAAAAUUAGAGCUGCAAGAAGCUGUGUGCAAAGUUAUUAUGAUGGAUACAGUCGGUGCAGAAUUGCAGGUUGUCGAAGUCAAUUUCUCUUCAGGAGGAGGAUGCUACUUAAAGUUGUUCUCACUACUGAUAAAGGCAAUGAAGAAGGGAGAGGAGACACCAUGUUUGCUUACAGGCAGUGAAAAAUCUACUUCUGUUUGGCUAGAG